UGAAAGCCUUUCUCUGAGACACACACACCUAGAGAGAGAAAAGACCGAUUCCUUUCGUUAAAGAGACACACCCCCACCCGAAAAACCCAUUGUUGUGAAACACACACACACAUCUUUCCUGAAGCAUUUUCUACGAGACAGACUGAGAGAGAGAGCCUGAUAUUCCAUUCGUUAAAGAUAAAGGUGAGGCUAUAUGGUUAACCCAGGCACCUGUCCGUUUCUAAUUCCGCAUCUUCCAGACAGGGUCUCUUCCUCGCAAGAUAUCCCACACACUCCACGUUCUGCCCACCCCUCCACCUCUUGUCAUCGAUGGUUAUCCAGUGUACACGGUGAGAUGCCUCCUGAGUGUUCGACCGCGGGGCAGGGGUUUCCAGUACCUGGUUGACUGGGAGUGUUAUGGCAUCCUGGACCCAGCCCUCAUCGCCGAAUUCCAUAGAUGGGGGGGUACUGUCACCCAUCUGGUGUCACCCAUUAUCCCCUGGAUAUAACAGCGGGGACUGCAGGUUUUGAGUCAACCUACGCCAGUGGCGUGUAUUAAAGGAUGCCAAGAGAAGCCAGGAUUCCCCAAAUAUUUGACCAAUAAAAACAUGUAAAUUAUCAAAUGAUUUAUCUUACAUUUCUCUGUGUUUUGAAUAAUUGUCCAUCAAUAUGCAGCCUAGUAGGUAGCUAACUUAGCUGGAUCAUUGUUUCCCUUGUGAGGAAGUUAAGCUAGCAAGCAUUUUAGCUAGGUAGUCUGUGAAAUCUAAAACUAAAAGCAUACUGUAUGACAGAGCCAUAGACUUUUGCCAACAUGAAAGGGAGGAGGAUGGCAUUGGUGUUUUAACUAGUCUACAAAAGGGUCAGUCAACUUUCUUUCUUUUUUUUUUUACAUGUGUGCACACACACACACACACACACACACACACACACACACACACACACACACACACACACACACACACACACACACACACAGACAGACAGAAACAGUACCAUGGACAGCCACAUGAUAUUUAGCAACAUUGAUUGGACUAAAUUGUUUUUGGUAUCUUUAAGUUUGUUUUUAGUGCAUUUAACGAUUGCCUUUUUAAUUUGUUGAUUUUUAAAUAUUUUCAUUAAAAUGGUGCUGGAAUAGCGGAGCCAGUGCUCCUUUUCUUUGUGCUCACUUGCAGGAACUCUGUGGUUCUAAAUCAGUAGUUGUUGAAAACGUUAACUUGCUUGACCGUGCUCUACGGCUUUGUGAUGAAACAUGUGUAGUUGAAUUUAUUCUGGCACUGUGUGACUGUGGUCUUUUUGUUGUCACAGCGUUUUUGUAUAGCACGGUUAUUCUGUGUAUUCUUAGGGAGUUGGUUUUCACACCACCCCUUGCUCCCUUUCAUGGUCUGUCUAUGUAACAUAUCUGAUAUAUUCAUAUUCUGGGUACUGUAGUCAUAUAGUCAACAGGUAAGCUUGACUUCCAUGUGCAAAGUGGAGAUGUUCAGGAUAUUCCAACUCCAACGAAUGAGGUGAAAAAAUUGCCAGUGUGUACAUAUUAACCAAAAUAUAAUUUUAAUUCUGAAAAUUUCCUUUUUCCUUCAAUUCUACAAAUGUAACAUGAUUAAAUAGAGUAAACACAAGUCUAUAGUAAGUCUUGACCUAAAGACAUUUGCUGUCUCGAACUUUCAAUGUACCAACAGACUCAGAAAUGAUUUAGUUAGAUUCCUCCAGAGACGCACAGGGCCUGUUGCAUAUAUUCACAUAAUAUUGGAGUCAGAUUGAUGAAUGUAGUUUAUUAUUAUAUUCAACAUAAUUUCUACAUAAUGGCUGGAUGAUUUCUACACCUAACAUUGGUGCAUUAGGAUUGUUCACAUUUUAGUCCUCUACUCCUCUUGCUCAUCAUUCCUAUUUCACAGAAACAUAUACCUUCUACAAACCAACAGGAGAUGUGGUGAUUUACAGAGGCCACCACGGAAUGAGAAUAGCCAAACAACACAGCCAAAAAGUCAAAAUAGUCUACCAUAAAAAAUGUAUAAGAAUAAAUAAUUGACUUUUUGGUCUUCAUAUAAGGUUAGGGUUAGGCUCAAGGUUAGGUUUAAAAUCUGAAGAAGAGAAAUUGUAGAAAUAGGAGGGGUUUAUGACUUUGUGGCUGUGUUAACUAGUGACGACAACUGAGAAGAGGUAGACAAGUGGAGACAGUAGCUCAUUGGUGACUAAUAGUUACUGCUACUUUACCUUUACAUUCUUUGAGUACUUGAAGUUGAUUUAUGAAGACAUUAGAUGUUUGUUUUCCCCCACACAGCAGUUCAAUGAGAAGCAGAGUGUCCCAGUAAGAACAUAAACUGUGGUAGUAAAGGGAUGAAAAAUAACUCCAUAGUAGAUUGGGAGAUUCAGGAACAAACGUUACAGACUAUAUUAAAAUGCAAUGAAACACGUGUAAUAUUAAAAUGUGUCAACUUGUAAUUGGUUGCAUUCUAUCGUCGUAUCAUACUGCACUAUGAUUGGUAAAUACCACCCAGGUCAUGAGGGCCUUUUUCAGUUGAUCAUGGCUGGGGACACAUGAACAUACAGCAUUUUUAAAUGUUGUACAAAGCGUGCAAAACAAGACAUGGUGUCAGAGUAAAAGGACUAAAAGAUUAAUUUUGCUGGAGUUCCUUCACCUCGAAUGGACUGGGGGUCAACAAACGUACCCAUAGCUUUUUCAAACAGAAAUGUGCAUCCUGUAGCUCUAACUCCAAAAAGUUCUGGGACACUAAAGGGUCCUCCCAGCUGCCCACUGCACUGAGGCUAGGAAACACUGUUACCACCGAUAAAUCAAUGAUAACAGAGAAUUUCAAUAAGCUUUUCUCUACAUCUGGCCAUGCUUUCCUCCUGGCUACCCCUACCCCAGGCCCACAGCUCGGCACCCCCCACAGCUACUUGCCCAAGCCUCCCCAGCUUCUCCUUCACCCAAAUCCAGAUAGAAGAAGUUCUGAAAUAGCUGCAAAACCUGGACCCAUACAAAUCAGCUGGGCUAGACAAUCUGGACCCUCUUUCUAAAAUUAUCUGCCACCAUUGUUGCAACCCCUAUUACCAGUCUGUUCAACCUCUCUUUCAUAUCGUCCGAGAUUCCUAAAGAUUGGAAAGCUGCUGCGGUCAUCCCCCUCUUCAAAGGGGGAGACACUCUAGACCCAAACUGUUACAAACCUAUAUUAAUUCUGCCCUGCCUUUCUAAAGUCUUUGAAAGCCAAGUUAACAAACAGAUCACUGACCAUUUCGAAUCCCACCGUACCUUCUCCACUGUGCAAUCCGGCUUCCGAGCUGGUCACGGGUGCACCUCAGCCAUGCUCAAGGUACUAAACGAUAUCAUAACUGCCAUCGAUAAAAGACAAUACUGUGCAGCCGUAUUCAUCGACCUGGCCAAGGCUUUCGACUCUGUCAAUCACCGUAUUCUUAUCGACAGAUUCAACAGCCUUGGUUUCUCAAAUGACUGCCUCACCUGGUUCACCAACUACUUCUCAGAUAGAGUUCAGUGUGUCAAAUUGGAGGGCCUGUUGUCCGGACCUCUUGCAGUCUCUAUGGGGGUACCACAGGGUUCAAUUCUCGGGCCGUCUCUUUUCUCUGUAUAUAUCAACGAUGUCGCUCUUGCUGCAGGUGAUUCCUUGAUCCACCUUUACGCAGACGACACCAUUCUGUAUACAUCUGGCCCUUCUUUGGACACUGUGUUAACAAACCUCCAAACGAGCUUCAAUGCCAUGCAACACUCCUUCCGUGGCCUCCAACUGCUCUUAAACGCUAGAAAAAACGAAAUGCAUGUUCUUCAACCGAUCGCUGCCCGAACCCGCCCGCCCGACUAGCAUCACUACUCUGGACAUUUAUGACUUAGAAUAUGUGGACAACUAACCAGACACCUAGGCAUUUGUAGACUGUAAACUCUCCUUCCAGACUCACAUUAAUCAUCUCCAAUCGAAAAUUAAAUCUAGAAUCGGCUUCCUAUUUCGCAACAAAGCCUCCUUCACUCACGCUGCCAAACAUACCCUCGUAAAACGGAUUAUUCUACCGAUCCUCGACUUCGGCAAUGUCAUUUACAAAAUAGCCUCCAACAGUCUACUCAGUAAACUGGAUGCAGUCUAUCACAGUGCCAUCCAUUUUGUCACCAAAGCCCCAUAUACCACCCACCACUGCGACCUGUAUGCUCUCGUUGGCUGGCCCUCGCUACAUAUUCGUUGCCAGACCCACUGGCUCCAGGUCAUCUACAGGUCUAUGCUAGGUAAAGCUCCGCCUUAUCUCAGCUCACUGGUCACCAUAAAAACACUCACCCAUAGCACGCGCUCCAGCAGGUAUAUCUCACUGGUCAUCCCCAAAGCCAACACCCACUUUGGCAGCCUUUCCUUCCAGUUCUCUGCUGCCAAUAACUGGAACAAAUUGGUUUAAAUAAUGCAAAAACAAAGUGUUGGAGAAGAAAGUAAAAGUGCAAUAUUUGCUAUGUAAAAAAGCUAACAUUUAAGUUCCUUGCUCAGAACAUAUGAAAGCUGGUGGUUCCUUUUAACAUGAGUCUCCAAUAUUCCCAGGUAAGGAGUUUAAGGUUGUAGCUAUUAUAGGACUAUUUCUCUCUAUACCAUUUGUAUUUCAUAUACCUUUGACUAUUGGAUGUUCUUAUAGGCACUAUAGUAUUGUCAGUAUAAUCUCGGGAGUUGAUCGGCUUAAAGUCAUAAACAGCGCAGUGCUUGAAGCACAGCGAAGAGCUGCUGGCAAAUGCAGGAAAGUGCUGUUUGAAUGAAUGCUUACGAGCCUGCUGCUGCCCACCACCACUCAGUCAGACUGCCCUAUCAAAUAUCAAAUCAGAUCAUUAAUUUUAAUAUAAUAACACAGAAAUAUGAGCCAUAGGUCAUUAAUAUGGUCAAAUCCGGAAACUAUCAUUUCGAAAACAAAACGUUUAUUGUUUCAGUGAAAUAUUGAACCAUUCCGUAUUUUAUCUAACUUGUGGCAUCCCUAAGUCUAAAUAUUGCUGUUACAUUUCACAAACUUCAAUGUUAUGUCAUAAUUACAUACAAUUCUGGCAAAUUAAUUACGGUCUUUGUUAGGAAGAAAUGGUCUUCAUACAGUUCACAAUGAGCCAGGCAGCCCAAACUGCUGCUUACACAAUUUCCAUAGUUUAAAGAAAAUCAUGUUAGCAGGCAAUAUUAACUAAAUAUGCAGGUUUAAAAAUAUAUACUUGUGUUUUAAUUUUAAGAAAGGCAUUGAUGUUUAUGGUUAGAUACACAUUGGUGCAAACGACAGUGUUUUUUUUUGCGAAUGCGCUUGUUAAAUCGUCACCCGUUUGGUGAAGUAGGCUGCGAUUCGAUGAUAAAUUAACAGGCACCACAUCAAUUAUAUGCAACUCAGGACAAGCUAGAUAAACUAAUAUCAUUAACCAUGUGUAGUUAACUAGUGAUUAUGUUUGAUUGUUUUUUAUAAGAUAAGUGUAAUGCUAGCUAGCAACUUACCUUGGCUCCUUGCUGCACUCGCGUAACAGGUAGUCAGCCUGACACGCAGUCUCCUCGUGGAGUGCAAUGUAAUCGGUGUCCAAAAAUGCUGAUUACCGAUUGUUAUGAAAAUUUGAAAUCGGCCCUAAUUAAUCAGCCAUUCCGAUUAAUCGGUCGACCACUAGUCCAGAUGGGAUAGGGCAGUGUGAUGGUGAUUGUGUCGUCUGUGGACCUGUUGGGGCGGUAUGCAAACUGAAGUGGGUCUAGGGUGGCCGGUAAGGUGGAGGUGAUCCUUGACUAGUCUCUCAAAGCACUUCCUGAUGACAGAAGUGAGUACUAAGGGGCGGUAGUCAUUUAGUUAUCUUUGCCGUCUUGGGUACAGGAACAAUGGUAGCCAUCUUGAAGCAUGUGGGGACAACAGACUGGGAUAGGGAGAGAUUGAAUAUGUCCGGAAACACACCAGCCAGCUGGUCAGCGCAUGCUCUGAGGACGUGGCUAUGGAUUCCGUCUGGGCCAGCAGCCUUGCGAGGAUUAAAAUGUUUAAAUGUUUUAAUCAUAUCGGCCUUGGAGAUGGAGAGGGGUGGGGGGGGCCGUCCUUGUUAGCGGGUCGCGAUGGUGGCACUGUAUUAUCUUCAAAGCGGACAAAGAAGGUGCUUAAGAGCUUUACACCCCUGGAUUGUUCAAUAAUAAUAUAUUAUUAUUUUCAUAAUUGUUCAAGCUCUGUGAAGAUGUUGGUGCUCAUGGGUACACAGCAAUUUUCAAAUCCUGCCAUAGAUUUUCAAGCAGAUUUAAGUCAAAACUGUAUCUUGGCCUUGUGUUGUAGAUUAUUGUCUUGCUGAAAUGUACAUUCCUCUCUCAGUAUCUGCUGUAAAGCAGACUGAAGCAGGUUUUUCUGCUUAGCUGCAUCCCAUUUCUUUUUAUCCAUAAAAACUACACCUGUAUUUGCCAAUGUCAAGCAUGCUCAUACCAUGAUGCAGCCACCACCAUGCUUGGAAAUAUGGAGGCAGUUACUUGGAUUUGCCCCAAACAUGAGGCUUUGCAUUUAGGACAAAACAUAUAUUUUUUUACAGUAUUACUUCAGUUGCAUACAAUAUGUUUAUUUGCAUUAAUUACUUUCACUGUCAUUUAAAUCAUUAUUGUGGAGUCACUACAAUGUUGUUUAUCCAUCCUCAGUUUUCUCCCAUCACAGCCAAUGAACUCUGUAACUUUUUUUCAAUCACCAAUAGCCUAAUGGUAACAUCCCUGAGCAGUUUUAUUCCUGUCCUGCAGCUCAACUCAGAAGGAGGACUGUAUCUUUGGAGAACUGUAUCUUUGAUGUGUCUGGGUGGUUUAAUACAUAAUCCACAGCAGAAUUAUUAAAUUAACAAUGCUUAAAAUA